GAUUUCUGGCCUGGUGCGCCUGGCCCACCACCGCUAGGUGUGUGAGUGCUGGGUCGUACCUGCCAUCCUUCUAGAGAACGUUCGUACCAUUCAUUUGGCCGCGGACGCAAUCUAGAUCUUUUACUUUGAAAAAAUUAGAGUGUUUAAAGCAGGCUUUUGCUAUGAAUACAUUAGCAUGGAAUAAUAAUUUAGGACUUCGGUUCUAUUUUGUUGGUUUCUAGGACUGAAGUAAUGAUUGAUAGGGAUAGUUGGGGGUGCUAGUAUUCAGUGGCCAGAGGUGAAAUUCUCGGAUUCACUGAAGACUAACUUAUGCGAAAGCAUU
rnacentral:rRNA from 1 species